rnacentral:rRNA from 1 species
AGAGUUUGAUCAUGGCUCAGAACGAACGCUGGCGGCGUGGAUCAGACAUGCAAGUCGAACGAGGUUAGUCUGGUAGCAAUACUGGGCUGACCUAGUGGCGAACGGGUGCGUAACACGUGACCAACCUACCUGAAAGUGGGGGAUAGCUCGGCGAAAGCCGGAUUAAUACCGCAUGUGAUCGUAAGAUUAAAGCAGCAAUGCGCUUUUAGAGGGGGUCGCGGCCUAUCAGCUAGUUGGUGAGGUAAAGGCUUACCAAGGCAGCGACGGGUAGCUGGUCUGAGAGGACGACCAGCCACACUGGAACUGAGACACGGUCCAGACACCUACGGGUGGCAGCAGUCGAGAAUUUUUCUCAAUGGGGGAAACCCUGAAGGAGCGACGCCGCGUGGAGGAUGAAGGCUUUCGGGUUGUAAACUCCUGUCAUCUGGGAACAAAACUCGCAAGAGCUUGAUAGUACCAGAAGAGGAAGAGACGGCUAACUCUGUGCCAGCAGCCGCGGUAAUACAGAGGUCUCAAGCGUUGUUCGGAUUCAUUGGGCGUAAAGGGCGCGUAGGCGGUGGGGUAAGUCUGGUGUGAAAUCUCGGAGCUCAACUUCGAAAUUGCACUGGAUACUGCUCUGCUAGAGGGCUGGAGAGGAGAUCGGAAUUCACGGUGUAGCAGUGAAAUGCGUAGAUAUCGUGAGGAAGACCAGUGGCGAAGGCGGAUCUCUGGACAGCUCCUGACGCUGAGGCGCGAAGGCUAGGGGAGCAAACGGGAUUAGAUACCCUAGUAGUCC